ACGUGGGGUCUGUGCGUAUCUACUAAAACUGGAACUAGAGAGAAGAUGAGCAUGGCUCCUAUGCAAGGAUGGCAUGUGAAUUCAUGAAGCAUUCCAUAUUUUU
rnacentral:snRNA from 1 species